CCCGGCUGCACCCGGAGCGACGCCGCCCCACUGCAUCCCCACAGCGUGAGAAACAGCGCCCCAGGAGCAGCCGGUGAGCUGUGGGCAGUCCAUACGGUGACAAAUAAAGCACUGCAGGGCGCUCUGAAGCCCGGCAUCCCCGUUCCUUCCCAAGGGAAGGGCUGAGUUAAAGCACACCUGGCAGAGGCAGCGUUCCUCCUCCAGCACGGCUCACCUUCAGGGAAGGCUCCUAUAGGGUAUGGGGCAGCACUUCUUUGGAGGUCACACAGGUCAGCAGUAUUAGUCUGACUGUGGGGAAGUCUCUCCUCCAGGGAGACCUCACUGUGGCCUUCCAGUACCUGAAGGGAGCGUACAAACAGGAGGGGGAACGGCUGUUUAUGAGGGUGGAUGGUGAUAGGACAAGGGGGAAUGGUUUUAAACUGAGACAGGGGAGGUUUAGGUUGGAUAUGAGGAGGAAGUUUUUCCCCCAGAGGGUGGUGACGCACUGAACAGGCUGCCCAAGGAGGCUGUGGAUGCCCCAUCCCUGCAGGCAUUCAAGGCCAGGCUGGAUGUGGCUCUGGGCAGCCUGGGCUGCUGGUUGGCGACCCUGCACAUAGCAGGGGGUUGGAACUGAUGAGCACUGUGGUCAUUUUGUUGAAGUUGUGUCGCUGCCUCCAUUUUAUUUCAAAGUAUAACAGUUUUAAUUGACUGUUGUUCAGGUUGGACACCUUUGCUGUGUCACAGCAAUCUUUGUUCAUUGAUCCAUUUGGAAUAAAGAAGGAUGUUAAUGACGGUUUAUCCUUUGUGGUGUAACAAGUACCUUCUACUGAUCCAACACUGUAAAAAUAGUCAUAUAUUUUUUAAUCCCCCCCUCCUCCCCCCCAGCAAUUCCAGACAGCAAGGGUAGUGUGUUGCUUGGGCUAAGGCUGGGCUGUUAGCUAAAUUAAGCCAUUGUGACUCAAAAUCCUCCUUUAAUAAGGUUCAUGCUGUCUACAACUUCAUCAUUUUCUGCUGAAUGAUAAUUACUUUAUUCAAUCAUGUUCAAGGUUUUAGUGAAAGCUAGCAUUGAUUGAUUAACUUCAAUUACCAUGCUUACAUUUGCAUAGAUAAAAACUGCUUUUCAAUUUGUGAGUGGCACGCUGGUGGAAACCCUGCGCUGAUAUUUGCAUUUCAAUGUGGAUAGCGAAGAAUAAAGGUGGAAAAGAGGUCUGAUCAGUGCUAAGCCCUUUCUGCUUCAGUGCUUCAGCAUUUUUCCAUAAACACUCUUGUUAUGAUGUUGGUUUGUUCGAACCGCUCCGAGGACGCGGCGCAGCCUCCUGUUUACGAGCUGUGUGACAGUUCAGUCCCUGGGCCGGGGAUGCCCAAAUCCGAGCGUGCGGCAGGCAGGAGCUUUCCUAUCGGUGACCUGAAAAGUUGGGCCUCCCCUGCGGUGCUGCACAGCACUCGGCUGCAGCCGCUCACUGCGGCUCCUCACUCGUUCCUUCCGUCUCCGCCAGGUUUCUCUUGGAGAAGCUGCCGUGUGAUGAGUGAAAUGCCGCUGUCUGUAUUCGACCGCUGCCGCGGCUGCAAGCAGAGCUUCCCGCUCAUCCCCUGGCUCUGCACGCUGUGCCCACGAGCUGCGGGCUGCUCUGCCACACCAGCGCCGGGCGGCUGCAGCACGUGGGAUCCGCCGCAGCCCUGCAUCAGGGAGAGCCCAGCGCCGAGGCAGUGCGGGUGGUGUCAGCUGAGCACUGAGUCUGCACAUAACGACCCAACAGCCGUUCCAGACAGCGGGACGAGGAGGCGGCUGCCUUUCCUAUUCCUGUUUCAGACUGGAGCUGCGUGGCUGCGUGCCCUUCUCCAGAGCCAACCUGAAAGUGUUGAAGUGCAGCUCUGCGCUGCCUUUGCUAUGCACAGUGUGUGAGAUGGGGCUGAGAAGUUUUCUUCUUGGUUUAUUGUGAGCGUUUUCAACAUUUCGUUCCGAUUCCAUCCACCACGAGUGUUAAUUGGUGACAAUAGGCACUCGCCUCUGUUUCCCUAUUUCACCUCUUUCCUCUCUGUAACAUCUGUAAGCUCCCUAUGCUGUGUGGGAAAAAAAAAACAGGAUAUUUCAAGCUGCUUUUAACCUGGGCGGCCGCACUCCGUGCAUGCAACACCCGGAGACAUAACAAAGUGAGAGCAUCAUCCCCAAGGUACGACGCAAAGCAGCCUUACAGUGAAGGAAUAUGUAGGCAAAUGGAAAGCAGAUUGCAGGUCAUGUUCUACAUUUGAAAUUCUACCACGCGCAGCUCCUGCCAGGCUCCGGAAUAGAUAUUCACAGAGAAACACCAGCAGAGAAACGCGUGCGCCAGGAGGAGUGCCGGGGCGCUAUCAGGACAAUGACAGCAGCACAGAGCUCCUGGGGAAGCGUUUCUGUGCCCGGGCGUUGUUAGGAAAUGGCACGAGGUGCUGCGGGCCGUGCCAGCGGUGCUGUGCACAGGGAUGGUCUGCUCUGCAGAGCCGCCGGGCGCUGCCGGGUCCUGGCAGCAAACUGCUGGCACGUGGGGCCGCCCGCUGCGCUCUGCUGGGCCGGGGCUGAGCUCAGUGCUGCGCUCGGCUCUUUGAGCGCCAUGCAGGGCUGGCGGGGCUGCAGGGCAUGGGCACGGGGUGCGCCCCGGGUUGCUCUGCGCCUCUGCUGGGCGCCCUGCGGGUCGGGAGCUCUGCGGAGGACUUGGACAUCCUCAUCAUCCCAGCGCCCUGCCUGCUCCCGUAACCUUCUCCAGAUGGUGACACGAACAGAUGACUUCAGUAAGAGAGAUCCCAGUUAAACACAGCGUGCCUUGGUGUCACAGCGGAUGGUUUUUUCUGGAUUUCACAGAUUUUCGUGCUUCUCUCUUCCUUCAGAAGACACUUCAUGAACUUGCCUUUAUAGCAGAAGCCAGGGGAUGCUGCCAGCGCCUGGAACGCGAGCGUUAGGAAUCCGUGCUGUGUAAAUUAGCAACAUCAAUGCCUACUGCAUUUAAUAGGACCAUACGGGGAAUGCGAAGAUAUUAUAUAAUUUCAACCAUAUUAAAGCCUCCAGAACUCGCAACCUCAUUAUUUCCUGCAGCGUCUCGCUGCAAACUGUAUUACUUUAUUUGGAAUGUGUUCGCUUUCGGAUUAAACAAUUGAGCCACGUUAAAGUAACACGAAGGGGAAAACCAUAAAACUUUUGGCUGCUUUUCACAGAGGUCGUUGUGUUGGGUUCAAAAUUAUCCCAGGAGCAAUGAUUUUCUGCCACCCAGGAUAAAAAACAGCGUUGGAGUUGUGCUAAUUCUGUGCAGUUACUUUAAUCACUGGAGUAAAUUCUACCAAAGAGCUCGACUGUAGUGUCAGCCUCCCCCUAAUCACAGAAAGGAAAAAACAGAAGCAAAAGGAUGGGUGUAUUGAUGUCCCUCCUCUUGGUAAUGGCUGCGUGAAGACAGAACAGCGGCGUACAGUCUGCCCCAGCUUUAACUCAUUAUUGAUGAUCCUAUUGUGCAAUGAUGGCCAAAGGGUCGUACUCUGUUGUGGGUGUUUGGGUUUCUGGUGGAAUUCAUGCACUGUGUGCGCUGUGUGUUGUAAUCGAUCCUUCCUAAAAUUAGGCUGGAGGGUGACACGUAACCUUGGCUGGGGACACCCGUGACUGCAUCCCAGCCCUCAGCGCACGUCUGGGAGCACCGCCAGCCCAGCCCAUGCAGUGGGAUGCUGCGGUUGGGGAUGAUGGACACAGAGCAGUUACAUCCAGGUCUGCUGUACAAGGCUGAAUUGCAGCAAAUGGGGCUGUUCAGGCUGCUUGUGCUUUGCACUGCUGCACACGUGUUUCAGAUGGUGGCUGAAAUCGAUCGGGGAAAGUGUGAGCACCUAAUAAAUAUUGGCAUUCCUGUGUCUCACGUGCUAAGUCUGUUUAGAGACUGGAUAUGUCAGGGCGCUGGUAAUAGACUUCGGAGAACCUUUCGGUUCCACUUGGCCGCCUCGAGUCUGGUUCAUGGGUAGGACUGAAAGUUAUUGCCCAGUUUGUGCCAUAUGAGGAAUGAGCUCAGUGUAAUUUCCAAAGGUGAAAGCGGCCACAUCGCAGAAAGAGCCAUCAUAAAUGGCCGUGUGAGUGCCUUAUGGGCGCUGUCUGAUGUAGUGUGUUGGCUGUGGAGCACGAAGGGUUUGCUGGCUGCCCUUCCCUAUCACUUCCAUAGACCAAAGGCCUUCACGUGGGAGGUCUCUAAGGGUGUGUGAGAUGCCUGUAGACUCUCAUCUUUCUUCCCCUCCCAAACUGUAGAACAGUACUCUGCACUGUGCACCAGUGAGAGAAACGUACAGGCCCUGACCGUCAGUUCUGCAAGCCAUCAAAUAGGUGGAAAUAAAACACUUUAGCAAAACGAAGAGAUUGGACGUGUCAAGUAUGGUGAACAGUGAUGGGAUUCAUUUCUAGGAGAGCCGUCAUGGCGGUGUGUGGUGGCCAAAGCCCAGCCCUCGCUGUGUGUUCUCCCGCUGCAGGUGGCUGCCGUGUCCUGGCUUGCCUCGCUGCUGCCCUGCUCAGUUCUGGGUGUAGAUCCUAUGAGCCUAUGAUUGCAGAGGACUGAGCGCCAUGGAAAGGCGGCGUGCUGGAUCCAGGAAGCUCCCUGAGUCACUCUGUGCUGCACCCAAGUCCCCCAUCCCUGAGAUCCGAAGCACAUCACCGUUGUUUCUCUUCCCAGUGCUGUGCUCCUUCUCACAGCCGUGGAAAUGGAGCUGUUAAUGGAGCACUCAGACCGCUGUCUCCUCAGCUGGCGAAUGCAACGACGUGCUGAGCUCUCCUGUGGGCUGGUUAUUCAUGCAGGCUUCGGCUCUUCUGUCCUCGAGCACAGCUUUACCCUCCCAGUCCUCUGAAGUAAAGAUUGAGAAGCAUAUAAAAGCUUCGGAUUCCAUUACUGUAAAAUGCAUCAGAAAAGUGUUGAGCUAGGUAAUUACCUUAAUCCGACCGAAAUAGUUGGUCACAAUAUACAUUAGAUGAGCAUCUAGAGUCAGAUUUGAACAUGCAGUCAACCCGAACAAAAUUAGCUCAGCAAUAGUGGUCCGGAUUUCUUAAUUGGUUCUCGGUGCCAAGAACAUUUAAUGUUUGCAAAAGUCAGGUGCAAAUCCUACAAGUGACACGAUUUGAGAAGAGCUGGGGAGGCUGCGGUAAGCCUGGCGUGGCGCCCCACUGUCAGGUGCAGCACUGAGGGCUGCCCUCAUUUACUGCUCUCUGUCAGGGUUCCUUUAAACUUCCAUGUACUGAUCCACAGUAAAAAGUAAUGGUAUGAUUAACGUCGUAGUAAUAACCUAUUGCAUUGAAAAUACACAUUUAACUCUAAUUUUCAUUGAACUACACAGAAGCUGAAAAUAUAAUAGCAUUUCCCAGCCAGUUGACAGUACAUUUUAGUGCACUGUAAUUGGCUAUCUUGGCUUCUCUUGGUUUAAUAAAGUAGAUGGGAUUCAUGAAAAAGCUCAGUGGUCACUUAGCAAUUGUUUAAUUCCUGUAACAUUGUUUUCUGAGUUAGAAAAUUAUUGUUUUUCAGUACUGUUAAAUAUUUAUGAGGUGCAGUUGAGAUGCAUGGCAGCACUGCGUAGUCCUGCUAAGCUCCCAAAUUAAUACCCUAUUGGAAAA
ensembl:lncRNA